AUUUGGUGCAAGUCUGGUUAAUUCAUGCCUGGGCCCAUCCUACCAAAAUCAACCUAGUAAUUGUGGCACAACAUAUUUUGUUUUUCAUAUUUCAUUAUCUCUUAGGUAAUUUUCAAAGACUAUGUCAGCUGCCAACAUCAACCAAAUGUCCUCAAUGUGAACUUGACAGUGGCCUGUGAGUUCACAAAGGUCUCGUUCCAGGAAUGUGAUUCUCAUUACCAUGAUGUGAGAGAGAAACUGCUUAAAGAUAUUUGGCAAACAUUCUGUGGACAUUUGCAAAAGCAGGAACAAAACCAACCAAGAAGCAACCUUAGAACUUCAGUUUGAAAUCCAGAUCAUCCGCAGUAGGAGCCUAAAAGAAUUUCAGGAAAAGAUUUAAGAGCCAUACACCUAGAGAGUUUUUAUAUUUUGAUGUUCAGAGAAAUCAGAAAAAGCUUCAUGGAGGAGGUGGCAACAGAG
rnacentral:lncRNA from 1 species